ensembl:lncRNA
CUGGCAGUUACAAGCUAAGACAUGUUUUCCCAUCUUCGCAAGCGUUUUGGGAGGGGGAAUGUCGAUUCUGGAGAGACUAGAGUGAAGGAGUCUGGCCUUUGUCUCAAAGUAAUGAUGGACAAAGACAGCACUUCUGGGGAUUGUUUAACGCUGGGAGAGAAACAUCAUCCCCUGGAACUGAGCUAAGCAAGAAGCAGGCCAAGAAGUAAAAUAAGAGGUGGAUUUAAGAGCUGCAGCUCAUUACAGAGGAGCGAAACGACCUGAGAGAUCGCCUGAUGUUUGUGACAGAGAGAUCCAUGAAGAACAGGUCCAGUCUUCUGUAUUGAACAAUGGGAGCCAGGAAACCCUCCAUCUGGAUGCUGAGCUUCCGGUGUCCUGGCCCCAGAAUAACGUUUCUGAAGCUGAAGAAGAUCCCAAUAUAUAGAAUUCAGAAGGUGUCCUUCCAGGGCUGGGGUAGUACAGGACCCACCCUGAGUUCAUAUAUUCCUAAAUGCUGAUGUUCAUUGGAUUCUAUCAUUUGGGGCCAGGCCACACUUCAGGCCAAAUCCAUAUUAUGAAGACCUGGAGAGAAUGGAGGAGGCGGUCAUGUCAAUUCUGCACAACUUAGAGAUGGAGAACACUGAGAUCCAUGAGAACAGCCAUAAGCUGAAGAAGGAGAUUACCUUCUCUACGUAAGUCCUGGUCAGAAAGGCUAUCACCUGUGGAAUGGCCAUUUCUGAUUUCUUUGUUCUGGAUUGGACGGUCUUCAGCUAUGAGUCUAUCUCUUGUGCUGUUUACACAUCAGUGUGCCAGGGUCAUUAGGACUCAGCUUUCAGUUCCACAAAAGAGUGUGCCUCAUCCCAGGAUUGUCUAGGCAUCUUCAUAAGGCUCUAGAUAGAACAGCACUGAUUGAAGUCAGCAGAAGGUUAUUAGGCUGAACGGGGCCUCUGGUGUCAUACCAGGUUUUACAAGACUCAGUGUGUGGACCACAUGGUUAGAAUGAC